rnacentral:rRNA from 1 species
GACGAACGCUGGCGGCGUGCUUAACACAUGCAAGUCGAACGGAAAGGCCUGCUUUCCCUUGUGGAUUGCGGGUGCUCGAGUGGCGAACGGGUGAGUAACACGUGAGUGAUCUGCCCCCAACUUGGGUAUAAGCCUGGGAAACUGGGUCUAAUUCCCGAUAGGACUGCAGGGUGGUGCCUGUGGUGGAAAACGAUUUUCUAGUGGUUGGGGAUGAGCUCGCGGCCUGUCAGCUUGUUGGUGGGGUAAUGGCCUACCAAGGCGGUGACGGGUAGCCGGCCUGAGAGGGUGGACGGCCACAUUGGGACUGGGAUACGGCCCAGACUCCUACGGGAGGCAGCAGUGGGGAAUAUUGCACCAUGGGCGGAAGCCUGAUGCAGCGACGCCGCGUGGGGGAUGACGGCCUUCGGGUUGUAAACUCCUUUCGACCGCGAGGAAGCCACCUGGUUGGAAGGGUGGUGACGGUAGUGGUAGAAGAAGCACCGGCUAACUACGUG